rnacentral:rRNA from 1 species
CAAAUUGAGAGUUUGAUCCUGGCUCAGGAUGAACGCUGGCGGCGUGCCUAAUACAUGCAAGUCGAACGCUUUGUGGUUCAACUGAUUUGAAGAGCUUGCUCAGAUAUGACGAUGGACAUUGCAAAGAGUGGCGAACGGGUGAGUAACACGUGGGAAACCUACCUCUUAGCAGGGGAUAACAUUUGGAAACAGAUGCUAAUACCGUAUAACAAUGACAACCGCAUGGUUGUUAUUUAAAAGAUGGUUCUGCUAUCACUAAGAGAUGGUCCCGCGGUGCAUUAGCUAGUUGGUAAGGUAAUGGCUUACCAAGGCGAUGAUGCAUAGCCGAGUUGAGAGACUGAUCGGCCACAAUGGGACUGAGACACGGCCCAUACUCCUACGGGAGGCAGCAGUAGGGAAUCUUCCACAAUGGGCGAAAGCCUGAUGGAGCAACGCCGCGUGUGUGAUGAAGGGUUUCGGCUCGUAAAACACUGUUGUAAGAGAAGAAUGACAUUGAGAGUAACUGUUCAAUGUGUGACGGUAUCUUACCAGAAAGGAACGGCUAAAUACGUGCCAGCAGCCGCGGUAAUACGUAUGUUCCAAGCGUUAUCCGGAUUUAUUGGGCGUAAAGCGAGCGCAGACGGUUAUUUAAGUCUGAAGUGAAAGCCCUCAGCUCAACUGAGGAAUUGCUUUGGAAACUGGAUGACUUGAGUGCAGUAGAGGAAAGUGGAACUCCAUGUGUAGCGGUGAAAUGCGUAGAUAUAUGGAAGAACACCAGUGGCGAAGGCGGCUUUCUGGACUGUAACUGACGUUGAGGCUCGAAAGUGUGGGUAGCAAACAGGAUUAGAUACCCUGGUAGUCCACACCGUAAACGAUGAGUGCUAGGUGUUUGAGGGUUUCCGCCCUUAAGUGCCGCAGCUAACGCAUUAAGCACUCCGCCUGGGGAGUACGACCGCAAGGUUGAAACUCAAAGGAAUUGACGGGGACCCGCACAAGCGGUGGAGCAUGUGGUUUAAUUCGAAGCAACGCGAAGAACCUUACCAGGUCUUGACAUCCCUUGACAACUCCAGAGAUGGAGUGUUCCCUUCGGGGACAAGGUGACAGGUGGUGCAUGGUUGUCGUCAGCUCGUGUCGUGAGAUGUUGGGUUAAGUCCCGCAACGAGCGCAACCCUUAUUACUAGUUGCCAGCAUUCAGUUGGGCACUCUAGUGAGACUGCCGGUGACAAACCGGAGGAAGGUGGGGAUGACGUCAAAUCAUCAUGCCCCUUAUGACCUGGGCUACACACGUGCUACAAUGGCGUAUACAACGAGUUGCCAACCCGCGAGGGUGAGCUAAUCUCUUAAAGUACGUCUCAGUUCGGAUUGUAGGCUGCAACUCGCCUACAUGAAGUCGGAAUCGCUAGUAAUCGCGGAUCAGCACGCCGCGGUGAAUACGUUCCCGGGUCUUGUACACACCGCCCGUCACACCAUGAGAGUUUGUAACACCCAAAGCCGGUGGGGUAACCUUCGGGAGCCAGCCGUCUAAGGUGGGACAGAUGAUUAGGGUGAAGUCGUAACAAGGUAGCCGUAGGAGAACCUGC